rnacentral:rRNA from 1 species
UACGUAGGGCGCAAGCGUUGUCCGGAAUUAUUGGGCGUAAAGAGCUCGUAGGUGGCUUGUCACGUCGGGUGUGAAAAUCCAGGGCUUAACCCUGGACCUGCGUUCGAUACGGGCAGGCUAGAGUGUGGUAGGGGAGAUCGGAAUUCCUGGUGUAGCGGUGAAAUGCGCAGAUAUCAGGAGGAACACCGGUGGCGAAGGCGGUUCUCUGGGCCUGUACUGACGCUGAGGAACGAAAGCGUGGGGAGCGAACAGG